rnacentral:lncRNA from 1 species
AUGAGAUUUUACAAAAUAAGACCAUACCACACUUUCCUAUUUCCCUGAUGCCUAGAACAGUUCCUUAACAUAGGAGGUAGGUUACAAAGGUUUAUUGAAUGAAAGGAUAUGACUUGUAAAUGUAUAUUUUGUGUCUACUAUUUAAGAUCCACAAAGAAAUCAUCAAAGCCAUGUGAAAACAUGGUAACCAUUGAUCAAACAAUGUAAUAUUAUCACUAUAGUUUCUCAGUAGGUCACAAUCCCUCAAGACUCCGCAGUCAAAAUGGAACUCUACAUUGUUUCAUAGCCUCUUUUUUAGAUUGGAGUCCAAGAGCUACAUCAGAAGUAAGUGGAGAACCUAGGAAUUGGAGAGGAUAGAGUAAAGAUUGAUCCCAAAGAGCAAAGACCAUUCAUCUAAACUUAGAAACAGAAAAGUGGAAUGUAUGACAUUGAAGAGAGUGUCCAAACAUAGCAUCAAAAAGAUUUAUUUUCUUCAUCAGUACUGAAUGAUUCCUGACAACCAUCUAGCAGCAUUAUUUGUGGGUUGUUCUCUAACACCUCACCCCAAUAUAUAUAUAUAGUAAAGUAACACUGAUAAGUUAAGGUAAACAAGAUAUCUAAAUACCAUUACACAAAAAUCAGGGGUCUGUGAUGGCUGAACAAAUUGCCCUAUGUACUAGAGAGGGGAAAUCAGAAGAUGUCACACCAGGAAGUAGUUGAAUGAAAGAAGCUGAAUCUUGAGCCCCCCUUCCCUCUCUACUUCCUGUUCUUCCUUUCACCAAGCAACCUAAUGGAGGUUUUCUUCACAGAUGAAAAGUAAUGGACAAGGGUGGAAUGAAAGGGACCACAUAGUUCACUGUACAUCUCCUUUCUUAAAGAAGUCUCAUCCACUGCUGAGCUUUGAUGAAGGACAUUAGCUUGGUAUGGAAGCAAGAGGAUGUGAUUUCAUGAAGAAAACUAUCUCUCAUAACAAAACCUGCCAAGGAAAGAGAAGGGAGGGAGUAGGAGAAAGCAGUUCCCCCAAAGCUACCCACAUCAAAAAUGAACAACUAAAACAGUCCUGUAUAGAGGCAAUUAGGAAGCAUAAUGGAUCGAGUGCCAGGAGUCAUAGGAUCUGGUUUCAAAUCUGGCCUCAGCCACUUCUUAGCUGGAUGACUCUGGAGAAUUGCCUGGGAAGGAAACUACUUCUCCCAAAGAAGAUCAGCACCUGCUCUGCAAUGUCAGUCUUAGAGAGGAAUGUGGAGCACGGAGAAGUUCAAUGUCAUCCUCUCCAUGGAACCGCAUUGGAGGUAACACUUGCACUCCUCAGUGCUCCUCCUGCCUCUGCUCUAAGAUGGGCUCUCCACAUACUCCACUUAUCCAUACUGCCUUGCAGAGAAGAUAUUCUAUAUAGGUUUUAAUAAAUGAAUUUAAACCGGACCCCUCAUCCCCUCCAUUACUUAUUGAUCUGCUCCCUAUAAUUCUUUCAGGCUCUACUGACUGCAAUCUCCAUCGAUUUCUUUCUCUCUUUUUUUGUGGGAGGGGGUGGGGGGACAGGGAGUAAGGUGGAGGAGAGAAGAGAAGGGAUCUAACAGUAGCUGUCCAGUAGGGGCAGUUUUAUAAGGAAGUGGGGGGGACCAAAAUAAUGAAUGCUAUUAAGUGUCUCAAUGAACUUAGAGAACUGAGUUCAAAUAUCAGGUCUGUUACUUGGUACCUUAGUUGUUCAUCCUCCAUUCUCAAAGAGGACCAAUGACCAUGACGAGUGAUGUGUUGCCUUGUACCUGAAUUGGAUCUAAGUGAAGCAGAGCUGCACAAAGUCUUUAGCCUCCUUCUCUCUUCCAGAAUC